CACGUAGGGGGCGAGCGUUGUCCGGAUUUAUUGGGCGUAAAGGGCUCGUAGGCGGCUCAGUAAGUCGGGUGUGAAACCUCCAGGCUCAACCUGGAGACGCCACUCGAUACUGCUGUGGCUAGAGUCCGGUAGGGGAGCAUGGAAUUCCUGGUGUAGCGGUGAAAUGCGUAGAUAUCAGGAGGAAUACCGAUGGCGAAGGCAGGUCUCUGGGCUGACACUGACGCUCAUGCACGAAAGCGUGGGGAGCGAACAGG
rnacentral:rRNA from 1 species